UACGUAGGUGACAAGCGUUGUCCGGAUUUACUGGGCGUAAAGAGCGCGCAGGCGGUCGAUCAAGUCGAGUGUGAAAUCGCCCGGCUCAACUGGGCGGGGUCAGCGGAUACGGUGUGGCUCGAGCAAGCUAGGGGGCAAUGGAAUUCCCGGUGUAGUGGUGGAAUGCGUAGAUAUCGGGAGGAACACCAGUGGCGAAGGCGGUUGCCUGGAGCUUUGCUGACGCUGAGGCGCGAAAGCGUGGGGAGCGAUCCGG
rnacentral:rRNA from 1 species